rnacentral:rRNA from 1 species
GGGGAAUCUUCCGCAAUGGACGAAAGUCUGACGGAGCAACGCCGCGUGAGUGAUGACGGCCUUCGGGUUGUAAAGCUCUGUUAAUCGGGACGAAUGGCUCUUGUGUGAAUAGUGCGAGGAUUUGACGGUACCGGAAUAGAAAGCCACGGCUAACUACGUGCCAGCAGCCGCGGUAAUACGUAGGUGGCAAGCGUUGUCCGGAAUUAUUGGGCGUAAAGCGCGCGCAGGCGGAUUGGUCAGUCUGUCUUAAAAGUUCGGGGCUUAACCCCGUGAUGGGAUGGAAACUGCCAAUCUAGAGUAUCGGAGAGGAAAGUGGAAUUCCUAGUGUAGCGGUGAAAUGCGUAGAUAUUAGGAAGAACACCAGUGGCGAAGGCGACUUUCUGGACGAAAACUGACGCUGAGGCGCGAAAGCCAGGGGAGCGAACGGGAUUAGAUACCCCGGUAGUCCUGGCCGUAAACGAUGGGUACUAGGUGUAGGAGGUAUCGACCCCUUCUGUGCCGGAGUUAACGCAAUAAGUACCCCGCCUGGGGAGUACGACCGCAAGGUUG